GUGCCAGCCGCCGCGGUAAUACGGAGGAUGCGAGCGUUAUCCGGAUUCAUUGGGUUUAAAGGGUGCGUAGGCGGACUAUUAAGUCAGUGGUGAAAUCCUGCAGCUUAACUGCAGAACUGCCGUUGAUACUGAUAGUCUUGAGUUUGGUUAAGGUAGGCGGAAUGUGUAAUGUAGCGGUGAAAUGCUUAGAUAUUACACAGAACACCGAUUGCGUAGGCAGCUUACUGAGCCGACACUGACGCUGAGGCACGAAAGCGUGGGGAUCGAACAGGAUUAGAUACCCCCGUAGUCC
rnacentral:rRNA from 1 species